rnacentral:rRNA from 1 species
ACGGUACCCGCAGAAUAAGCCCCGGCUAACUUCGUGCCAGCAGCCGCGGUAAUACGAAGGGGGCUAGCGUUGUUCGGAAUCACUGGGCGUAAAGCGCACGUAGGCGGAUUUGCCAGUCAGGGGUGAAAUCCCGGGGCUCAACCUCGGAACUGCCUUUGAUACAGCAAGUCUGGAGUCCGGAAGAGGUGGGUGGAAUUCCUAGUGUAGAGGUGAAAUUCGUAGAUAUUAGGAAGAGCACCAGUGGCGAAGGCGGGUUGCUGGGCUGACACUGACGCUGAGGCGCGAAAGCUAGGGGAGCGAACGGGAUUAGAUACCCCGGUAGUCCUAGCCUUAAACGAUGAAUGCUUGGUGUCUCGGGUUUUAUACUCCCGAGGUG